GUGGGGAAUAUUGGACAAUGGGGGGAACCCUGAUCCAGCCAUGCCGCGUGUGUGAAGAAGGCCUUUUGGUUGUAAAGCACUUUAAGCGAGGAGGAGGCUACCGAGAUUAAUACUCUUGGAUAGUGGACGUUACUCGCAGAAUAAGCACCGGCUAACUCUGUGCCAGCAGCCGCGGUAAUACAGAGGGUGCAAGCGUUAAUCGGAUUUACUGGGCGUAAAGCGCGCGUAGGUGGCCAAUUAAGUCAAAUGUGAAAUCCCCGAGCUUAACUUGGGAAUUGCAUUCGAUACUGGUUGGCUAGAGUAUGGGAGUGGAUGGUAGAAUUCCAGGUGUAGCGGUGAAAUGCGUAGAGAUCUGGAGGAAUACCGAUGGCGAAGGCAGCCAUCUGGCCUAAUACUGACACUGAGGUGCGAAAGCAUGGGGAGCAAACAGGAUUAGAUACCCUAGUAGUCC
rnacentral:rRNA from 1 species